rnacentral:rRNA from 1 species
GAUGAACGCUGGCGGCGUGCUUAACACAUGCAAGUCGAACGGAAAGGCUCCUGCUUGCCGGGGUACUCGAGUGGCGAACGGGUGAGUAACACGUGGGUGAUCUGCCCUGCACUUCGGGAUAAGCCUGGGAAACUGGGUCUAAUACCGGAUAGGACCACAUUUUGGAUGGUGUGGUGGAAAGUUUGUCGGUGUGGGAUGAGCUAGCGGCCUAUCAGCUUGUUGGUGGGGUAAUGGCUUACCAAGGCGUCGACGGGUAGCCGGCCUGAGAGGGUGUACGGCCACAUUGGGACUGAGAUACGGCCCAGACGCCUACGGGGGGCAGCAGUGGAGAAUAUUGCACAAUGGGCGCGAGCCUGAUGCAGCGACGCCGCGUGGGGGAUGACGGCCUUCGGGGUGUAAACUCCUUUCACUAGGGACGAAGCGCAAGUGACGUUACCUAGAGAAGAAGCACCGGCUAACUACGUG